GCGGGGCCGGGCCGGGCCGGGGCGGCGGGGCGGGCGGACCCUCAAGCCCCAGCACCUCUUCUCUCCAGUUUGGGGGUGUCCCCCCACCCGUGACACCCCCCAAAGAUGAAAACCUGGAUCAGCAGUUCGGACCAAAACCUGGAAGUUUUCAUCCCAUUCCUGGAAAAAUACCACUGCCCUGUUUUGGGGCGCUGCUGCCAGACCUGCACCCCCAGGA